UACGUAGGAUGCGAGCGUUAUCCGGAUUUAUUGGGUUUAAAGGGUGCGUAGGCGGUUGUAUAAGUCGUGGGUGAAAGUCAAAUGCUUAACAUUUGGAAUGCCUGCGAUACUGUACGACUUGGAUUCGGUGGAGGUAAUUGGAAUGACAGAUGUAGCGGUGAAAUGCAUAGAUAUCUGUUGGAACGCCAAUUGCGAAGGAAGGUUACUGUACCGAGAGUGACGUUGAGGCACGAAAGCGUGGGGAGCAAACAGG
rnacentral:rRNA from 1 species